CAGUCGCCGCGGUAAUACGUAGGGUGCAAGCGUUAAUCGGAAUUACUGGGCGUAAAGCGUGCGCAGGCGGUUAUAUAAGUCAGAUGUGAAAUCCCCGGGCUCAACCUGGGAACUGCAUUUGAGACUGUAUGGCUAGAGUGUGUCAGAGGGGGGUAGAAUUCCACGUGUAGCAGUGAAAUGCGUAGAUAUGCGGAGGAACACCGAUGGCGAAGGCAAUCCCCUGGACCUGUACUGACGCUCAUGCACGAAAGCGUGGGGAGCAAACAGGAUUAGAUACCCCCGUAGUCCCUGUCUCUUAUAC
rnacentral:rRNA from 1 species